GAACCGGCUUCUCUCCUGGAAGCACUUUGAAAGGUGAACAAUGCAAGCUGGCCGAUGAGAAAGCAAUCCAAGUGGGUGAUAUCCCUGCCUGAGGUCGCAGCUGUUAGUGGCAGGGUCAGGCACAGGACCCAGGUCUUCUGAAUUCAGUGUUUUCUCAUCUUCCAUGAUGCCAAGCUGACUGGGGCUCCUAUGGCUGAGAGAGACCAGAUCCUAGCAUUCCAGUGGGGUAACACGUGGACUCUUGAGAGAACGGUUUCACGAAUACACUUUCAGUGGUAGUAAGGUCUCAGAUGUGUGUCCUGUACCUUGUACUCCACUUCCUUCCUCCUGGAGUUUCCGGUUAUGAAACUUGCACUCUGUAGGAAGCCUCUCUGGGUUGACUUCUCUCCUUCCAAGAGAUGCAGUGUUGCUUCCCAGUUGAGCACACUGGUUCCCUUACCCACCAUAGGUUUCCUUUUUGAGAAGACGAUACUUUGA